rnacentral:rRNA from 1 species
AUGCAAGUAGAACGCUGAAGGAGGAGCUUGCUCUCUCUGGAUGAGUUGCGAACGGGUGAGUAACGCGUAGGUAACCUGCCUGGUAGCGGGGGAUAACUAUUGGAAACGAUAGCUAAUACCGCAUAACAGUAGAUGUUGCAUGACAUUUGCUUAAAAGGUGCAAUUGCAUCACUACCAGAUGGACCUGCGUUGUAUUAGCUAGUUGGUGGGGUAACGGCUCACCAAGGCGACGAUACAUAGCCGACCUGAGAGGGUGAUCGGCCACACUGGGACUGAGACACGGCCCAAACUCCUACGGGAGGCAGCAGUAGGGAAUCUUCGGCAAUGGGCGGAAGUCUGACCGAGCAACGCCGCGUGAGUGAAGAAGGUUUUCGGAUCGUAAAGCUCUGUUGUAAGAGAAGAACGAGUGUGAGAGUGGAAAGUUCACACUGUGACGGUAUCUUACCAGAAAGGGACGGCUAACUACGUGCCAGCAGCCGCGGUAAUACGUAGGUCCCGAGCGUUGUCCGGAUUUAUUGGGCGUAAAGCGAGCGCAGGCGGUUAGAUAAGUCUGAAGUUAAAGGCUGUGGCUUAACCAUAGUACGCUUUGGAAACUGUUUAACUUGAGUGCAAGAGGGGAGAGUGGAAUUCCAUGUGUAGCGGUGAAAUGCGUAGAUAUAUGGAGGAACACCGGUGGCGAAAGCGGCUCUCUGGCUUGUAACUGACGCUGAGGCUCGAAAGCGUGGGGAGCAAACAGGAUUAGAUACCCUGGUAGUCCACGCCGUAAACGAUGAGUGCUAGGUGUUAGACCCUUUCCGGGGUUUAGUGCCGUAGCUAACGCAUUAAGCACUCCGCCUGGGGAGUACGACCGCAAGGUUGAAACUCAAAGGAAUUGACGGGGGCCCGCACAAGCGG